UAUUUCGUUCAAGAAUUAACAAAAACUGUAGAUAUAAUGUAUAAUAUAAUGUAAAGAAAGGUCCUUACUGUCCCUUUAAGCAACUUAACUUCAGGGUUUAGUUCAACUUAACAACAAAUCCUUUCUUUUCUUUUUUUAAGGAGGUACCAAAGAAAAUUGAUAACAGCACCACAAAUAUAAAUAUCACGAAAAAGGAAGAAAUAAAUAGAAAAGAAAUAAAAAAAGAAAAGUGUGCCUACCGUACCCAAGAAGACUUUAGCAAGGUUUGGAUAACAUAACAUACUUUAUUGAAUCCUUUAAACAUACUGUACUUUUACCUCAUAUUUUGGCACCCCCAGUAAAUAAACCUUUCCUUGUACUUUAUAUAAUAAUUGUAGCAGUUUCACCCAAUAAACUCAGAUUAUCUAAUGAAACAUUUUUUCUCUUUCCCAGGAGGAUGAUAAAGAUCCAUUUGCCAAAUACCCAGAGCCCAGGGGAAAUGUAAAACUUGGAGAGGCCAUCGGAGAAGGCAAUUUUGGAGUUGUCCAUAUGGGUUGGCAUAAUAUCAAACGCAAAGAAGUGGCCGUUAAAAUAAUAAAGGAAAUAAAGG